CGACGGCGGCAGGGCGGCUUGUGCGGUACCGUUCGGGCCUGGGGCGUAGGAGUGGCGACAUGAGCACGUGUUCCGUCUCCAAGGGCUGCUUUGUUUUUAAACCAAGUCCCAAGAAGAGAAGAGUGUCUCAGAAAACAGUUGGAAGCUGGUGGAGGGUUUCUGUACUCACAUCUGUGAGACAGAGCAGCACCUGGGAAGCCAAAUGUAUUCAGAAAAUGUGCCAAGACACUGUUUUACCAGAAAGGAUCUGAUUCUUCCUUUCUUUUUCAUAAAGAGCAUGUAUAGAAGUGAGAGGCAAUUUAGAGCUAUUGAUUUCAGAGAAAGAAACAAUGCGUCAGAGGAUAGUGAGUUGCGAUUCGUUACUUGUCAGUCUUUAUGGAAUCAGAUCAAAUCUGAAACAGAGCAAAUACAGGAAGACUUGAAUAAGCAGUUAUUUGAUAACCUACUAAGUUUUUUGAGGCGGUCUCAUUCUGAGUUCCAAGAGAAGACAACAGAAUGGACUUGUCAGAUGAAGUCCAGAGAAAUCCCUACUGCAGCUCUUGUUUUAGGUGUAAAUGUUACGGAUCAUGACUUGACUUUUAGAAGUUUCUCAGAAGUCCUUCAGAAUAACAUUACUCCUUAUAUAGCCUUGCUGGAAGCCAAAGAUUGCCCAGACAUAAAAAAUCUGAUGCAGAAGCUGAUGGGGCAGCUGAUGAACUGCUAUAUAGAUGUGGACUCACUGGAGGAUGAGGACUCUGUGCAGGUUUCCCAGAAUAGAAUACGUUGUUCAAUGACUUCUCUUAUCAACUGGUAUGAGAAUGUAACAAAGAAAACAGAUUCUGAAACUCCGAGCAAAAAAAGAACUUCCUCUUGUAGACACUGGCAAUCUCCUCCGGUUGUGGUUAUAUUCAAAGACAUGGAAAGUUUCACAACAAAAGUACUUCAAGACUUCAUAGUCAUCAGCAGUCAGCAUAUCCAUGAAUUGCCUCUGGUACUGAUUUUUGGAAUCGCUACGUCUCCCAUGAUUAUCCACAGCUUACUUCCUCACUCUGUUUCCUCUCUGCUGUGCAUAGAGCUUUUUCAGUCCCUUUCCUGCAAGGAGCACCUGUCUACUAUAGUUGACAAGCUGCUUCUGACAACCCAGUUUCCCUUUAAACUGGGUGAGAAAGUUCUGCAGGUUCUCAUCAACAUAUUCUUGUACCAUGAUUUUUCUGUCCAGAAUUUUAUCAAAGGAUUUCAGCUCUGUAUGGUGGAGCAUUUCUAUUCCCAGCCUCUUAGUGUACUGUGUUGCCAACUGGUAGACACUAAGAAGAGAGUAAAUUCUUUAUCACAUGAUCAGUGUGAAAACAUUCGAAAACUGCCCUCUUUCAGAAGGUAUGUGGAAAGUCAAGUAUCAGAGAAACAGAUUGCACUGCUGACAGCAGACAACUUCUUAAAGGAAAUAAUACAGAAGUUGCUGGAGGACUUGCAUGUUUACCAUGAGAAUUAUGUUUCAGUUCUGAGAUGUCUUCAUGUUUUCACAUCUUCUCUUCCAAAGUAUCCUUUGGGCAAGCAGAUCAGGGAGCUGCAUUGUGCAUGUUUGGAAAACCGAGUGUGGGAGACAGAGGAGUAUGAGUCAUCUCUUCAGCUAGCAAGGAUGUUGAAUAAGUCUGAUUUGGUAACCAUGCUUCAACAAUGUGUGGAAAUUUUUGUGUCAUCUUCUGGAAAGGAGUUUGAUAAGACAGUAGAGAAGUUGAAGGAGUUCUUGACCCAGUUUCAGAAACUAGAAGUAGCAGAAGCUAUCCAAGAACGAGAUGUGUCCGUAUCGUCACAAAAGGAGCUCCAAAAGAAGACAGACCUUUAUCAUCUUCAGAAGACUUUGUUGGAGUUGAAGGAAUCAAGGCGGUCUAAGAAACUGACAAAGUUUGAAAUGCUUCGUUUUGAAGUUGUUGACUAUAUAGACAGCCUUGUAAGAACUUACCUUGUUCCUGCAGACCACAAGACUCUGCAUGAGAUAGUGUAUUUCAACACAGCCAGUGUUCUCCGUGGGCACUUGAAUGCUGCCCCAAGGAUUGCACUUCAUACAGCUUUAAAUAACCCAUACUGCUAUCUGAAGGUAAGAAACAAGUGAGUUGUUUGUGGUGCUGGAGUACUUUCCGAAGGCUACACAUGAGGAUGAUGUGUAAGGCUCAGUUUUGCUGCUUCAUGGAGCUUGGCGCACAUUCAGCUGUUUUGCAGAGAACCAGCAAGUUAGUGUUGAUAAGCAGCUGGGGACUUUGCAAAGAGCUAGGGAAUCUGUCUGUAUGAAAUAAAGAAGCUAAUUAUGGAAAGAGUUCUGUAUGGAGAAUCCAUUUUCCAGAGCAUGUUCUAGUCAUCAUCUUUUCUUUCUCUUGUAGAUGUAGCAUAAAAGUAAUUUUAUCUUCCAUUACAAAUGGCCUGACUGUCCAUGGGGAAAAUACAGUGCCUGUGGCUCUUUCCAGAGACUUUCUUUACAGGGCUGGUGUUUAGCCCUCACUGUGUAGACUUGCUGUAAGAAUCAAGCUUUGAAAAGUGAUGGAGGAAGCAUUUCUAAUAAAGCCCCUGACAUAUGCAUAGUGUAUAAGCUUCAUUUGGAGUGUGG